UUUUUUUUGAUUUUAAUCAGACCGUCGGGAUUUAUUGGAAAAUAGUGGGAUUUACAAAUUUACCGAAAUAAAAAAAUAUAUUAGUAAUGCGUCAAGUGAAUGGUUUGGUAUGCUUGAAAUUUUACAAAAUAUAAUAAUAGAUUCAAAAUUGGAACUCGAGUGACCGACGAACUAAUAAAAGACAUCGGAAUUCUUGUAGGUGACAGAAUGAGCAACAAGCACGUUCGGCCACUUUAUGGUUAUUUAUUAUGAAUACCUGUAAAUUAAAAUUACCUCCACACUGAGGUGCCCCAUUUCGAGUCCUAAAAGCAUUUUACCAAAUAACUUAGUACCGGGAAUGUUACUGAUGGAUUUCGAAAUAUCCUUAAAUGGAAGUUUUGGAAUUUUCCUGCCAUUCAAAUAACAAGCAGACGUUUGCAGUAAGUUCGAACACGAUUUUCACAACGAAGAACUACUCUCAAGAUCAUAAUUGAAUAUAAUACGCCCAUAAAUAUAGAUGAUAAUUUGUACAAACAUUGACUCAUUUAUCGGGCGCAAUAUGUAUGUAUAAAGUUAUAUAUUAGUGUAAUAUUAUUAUUAUUACUAUUUAAGCACAAACAGAAUUAUUAGUUAUUACCACCCGUUGGUUCGUCGAACAGAGUUCAUAAAUAAAAACUCUCAUAAAAUAUAAUUUUAAAAAUAAGAACUUGUUAAAAACAAAAUUAAUUAUUUCCAUGAUCUACUUAAAGUAGACAUUAAAGUAUAAAAGCAUUAUAAUGUAUUAAUAGGUAAAUAUUAAUAUUUCGUAGGAAAUCAAUACUCGCCAAUUAUUAUACUUAUAUCACCACAGUAGUUGUCGUAUAUCAUUCAGUAAAAAUCAUAAAUCUAUUUUAUUCGUUUUUAAAAAGUUUACUUUACAAUAAUUUAUAAAUAAAAAUUGUGCUCAAAGUUUUGUUUGAUAACGAAACAAACCAUUAUCAUUAUUUAUAUGCCGUGCAUAAAUCACAACUGUCAUAGAGCAAUGAACAUGAUUAAACAACGACUUGUAAUUUGGUAUAAAUCCAACUAAUCCAAGAAAUUAUAUAAUAACUUCAACAGAAAAGGAAACUUUGAAAUUCAUUGUUCAAGCAUUAAGACAUUUAAAUUAAAGGAUAGGUGAACAGUAAAUAUAACG